UCAUGUACAGAGAGUCUGAGACAUGAAACCUAAUUUUUUUUUUCCGCCUCUGCUCUCGAUCUUAGUUUCCAGUACUAAAAUUGAAAGAGUGAUUCGAGAAUUCCAUAGAACUCUGGGAAUUUGAUUUGAUGGUGCAAAGCAAUCGUAAAUCUAAGAACAGAUUUGAAGCAGUUGGCGUAUAAAAGAUCUAUCGGCUACAACAAGAGAUUCACAAAAUGAAUCUGGUAAGACCAAAGGCUUAGGAGAUGACUCUCCUUGAUGAGCAGCGGAAGCAGUGCGAGGCAAAAGUUUUCCCAGUUGAAUGCAGAGAUUGGAGAAUUUGAUGAAACCGUUGAAAGGGAUUUAUCACCGUUUUGUCCAAGAGCUAGAAGCGAACAUUGAAGAACUCAAUCAGAAAAUAUUAGGACUGAAGAAUAAGCAGAUGUCACUGCGAGCUACCUUUCAAAAAGAGUACACAGAUGGAUAACGAGAUUUCCAAAGCAGAGCUUGAUCUUUUGCAAACUGUCCAAGAAAAUGCACACCUCCGCUCACAAAUUGUUCAAUCUCCAGACAAAUUUUGCAGAUAUUUUCACUCUGGGCCGUGACAGAAGCUAUGGGGGAUUGAGCUUCUCAUCUCAAGAUGUUGGUCAAGUUUUAGCUAUAUCAGGACUUGGGCUUCUGGUGUUCCAACUUUUGGUAUACCCACCGUUAGCUAAGGCCCUCACACUCCUUGUGAUUAUACGUCUUUCUGCGGUAAAUCUGGGGUUGAAGUUUCUCGAUUUUCGAAUGUUGCUCUUUGGUUUCUUAUAUCGAAUCUCUAAGAGUAGGCUUGCUGGGCGGAUGGCGUUUUAGAUUUCAGCACCAAAACCAGACCCGUGGCGAAGAUAAAGGCGAUAAGGAAGGGGCUUUGGUACUACAACUCUUCACUCACUUUUGUUCAGAUUUUCAGAAGCUGAAUUUAUGAUCUGACUUAAAGCUGUUACUUUUUGUUGUUUUCUUUAGCUAAGGUGAGUUAGUUUACCAUUGCACUGUUUUAUUAGGAGAUCGCAGAGAUGUUUCUUUCAAAAGUUUUGAGUUUUUCUCUCAUUUUUAUGUCCUUGGGAGACUUCAAGAACCUUGGUCUCUUUUUGUUCUGAAAUCUGAAUUGAUCAAGUAUUAUAUAAUACAGAUUCAUCAAAAGUGUUUGCA